AGAAACUCAAAAUGACAACAACUCCUCAAAUUCACCAACUCCUCAAUCCUCCUCCUCUUGGCCACCACCUACAUCUCCAAGGACGUCCUCCAUCUCAUCAUUAGAUAAUACAAAGAAACUCAAAAUGACAACAACUCCUCAAAUUCACCAACUCCUCAAUCCUCCUCCUCUUGGCCACCACCUACAUCUCCAAGGACGUCCUCCAUCUCAUC
rnacentral:lncRNA from 1 species